AUUUACAUCCGCAGUUUUUUUUUUACGCGUAACGUGGAGCUUUGUGUUGGUUAUAUUAACAAAGAUAAAAAAGAUGAUAAUAUGCAACGGAUGCAAGUAAAUCUGUUAUAUGUGAGAAUGUGUGUUUAAGUGAACAUCUUAUCCAAGUGAAGGAAACUGUUAAAAACCGUGUAGAUUUGAGAAUUAAAUAUUUUGACACGCAUAUGGAUAAGAAAAAAGUGCAUUGUUUUCUUUCAGUCAGUGUGAUUGUUAAUAUAUGAAUAUAUCAAUGAGUUUUAAGUGUGUUUUCAUGUUUAACUCGUGAAUGUCUUUUGUUUAUUGUGCAUAAUUUUAUUUUUUAAUAGUUUUAUUGUAGAAGACAAAUUGAUUUUUUUUUAAUUCAACAAAAGACGAGUGUUUUUAAUUAACAUGGAAGGAAAUUCUGUUUUGAAUGAUUUACCAACAGUAACUGGAGUGGUGCCCGAAAUACAAAAAAAAUCAAGAGCUGGUGAAAAUACAUCACUCUCGCCCAAUAAUGGUCAAACUUAUUUUGCAAAUGAAAAAAUAAGAAUUCCGGAGAGAAAUAGCAGUGGUUUUAGCUUUAGAACAUUAUGGGCAUUCACGGGUCCAGGAUUUUUAAUGUCCAUCGCAUAUUUGGACCCUGGAAAUAUAGAGUCUGAUUUACAAUCUGGAAAAGUAGCACAAUAUAAGUUAUUAUGGAUUCUUCUUAGUGCAACAGUUUUGGGCCUCGUAAUGCAAAGGUUGAGUGCCCGAUUAGGAGUUGUUUCUGGACUACAUUUGGCCGAAAUGUGUUUUAGACAAUAUAAAAAAGUACCUCGACUUAUAUUAUGGCUAAUGAUAGAAAUCGCUAUAAUUGGAAGCGAUAUGCAGGAAGUUAUUGGCACAGCAAUUGCACUUUUUCUUUUAUCAAAUAAAAGAAUACCAUUAUAUGCAGGUGUUCUUAUUACUAUUGUUGAUACUUUUACAUUCUUAUUUUUGGAUAAAUACGGUUUGAGAAAAUUGGAAUUGUUUUUUGGUUUUCUUAUAACAGUAAUGGCUGUUACAUUUGGUUAUGAGUACAUUGUGUCGGCACCUCCUCAAUUAGAAAUUGUAAAAGGAAUGUUUAUCCCUUCUUUUGAGGGUUACAAUAGUGAUGUUUUGCUAAAAGCGGUCGGAGUUGUUGGCGCAGUUAUUAUGCCACAUAAUUUAUAUUUGCACAGUGCACUCGUUAAAUCGCGAGACAUUGAUCGUAGACGUCCAGAAAAAGUAAAAGAAGCAAAUUUGUAUUAUUUUAUAGAAGCUGCAAUCGCAUUGUUUAUCUCGUUUAUAAUAAAUGUCUUUGUCGUGGGUGUCUUUGCAUAUGGAUUAUUUAAUAAAACUGGCAGUGAAAUAUAUGAAAUCUGCGAAAAGAAUAAUUUUACUAUAGGAAUUGACACAUAUAAAAAUAGAACUGAAAAAUUAGACGAUGCUGAUUUGUAUAGUGGAGGAAUAUAUCUUGGAUGUCAAUUUGGUUUUGCGGCAAUGGUAAUUUGGGCAAUUGGUAUUUUAGCCGCUGGACAAUCAUCGACAAUGACUGGAACUUAUGCUGGUCAAUUUGCAAUGGAAGGUUUUCUGAAUCUUCAAUGGGCACGUUGGAAACGUGUUUUAUUUACCCGUUCAAUUGCAAUUAUCCCAACAUUUUUACUUGCAUUCUAUGCGGAUAUUGAAAAACUCACUGGAAUGAAUGAUAUGCUUAAUGCGGUUAUGAGUUUACAAUUACCAUUUGCCACAUUACCAACUAUCGCAUUCACCAGUAGUGCUCAUAUUAUGGGAGAUUUUAAAAAUGGACUAGGAAAUAAAAUUGUUGCGACAUUAUUAUCUGUCACAGUAAUAUCAAUAAAUAUUUAUUUUGUAAUCAAUACUGUUGAUGAAAAAUUGUCACAUCAUUGGGCAGUUAUUUUAGCUUUUUCUGUUUUUUCAAUUUUAUAUUUGAUGUUUUGUGCGUAUUUAAUAAUACAUAUGGCCGUGAGUAUGGGAGCAACGUCUCUUGGCAAUCAUUGGUUUGUCGUCAAAUAUAUUGGCGGUCCAGUAGAAAAUACAUUUGGAUUGUCAAAUCCUGCCGUUUAUUCGAGCUUCGUCAACAGUUCGGAUCUUUCCUUGGACGCCUAAGCAAUUAGCAUCAAUACGAAAAAGCGAAAGUGCCCAAAGAAAUUAAUUCUAUACAUUAUAAUAUCAUAAAUAGAAAGCAAAUUAGCAUAAUAUGAAUCGAGAAAUAAAAUUCGCGAGUUUUGUGAUGUCUGUCUGACGUGCCAUAUAUGAUACAUGCUCCCGUGACUGCUGCGCUGCAAAGGUAUGUGUCAGUAUGGGACUUCUAAAGAGGUGAAGAUUUAUCAAGAGAAUUUUCACGGAGAUAUUGAACAAGUGAAACUUGUGUCACUAAUUUAACACAAGCAUUGCUUUUUCCUAUAUAUUAUAUAUAUAUAUAUGGACAUUGUACUAACUGCGAGUUUUUUUUCUUCAUUUUGAUUAAAAAAAAAAAGCAACAAAAUAAUCAUCAGUGGGCAUUUUGUUUAAAGGUGUUAAAAGGGUUACACUUGAAGAAAGUGAAUAAAUAAAUUAUAAAUUGCAUUUCAGAACAAAUCCAGCAUUUUCAGCUGAUGAGGCCUCGGAUAGUAAUAAUAUCUUUUCUAUGAAUCAAACGAUAAACUAAACUAAUGAGAUUUUUUAACAACAGACUCGACGAAUUUUUACCUCUGUAAAUUUAUAAAUGUAAAAAGAAACUCAAGUUCAACGAAUGUUGAACCUUUAUUGUAAAUUAAGAAAAAAAAAUCUUGUAUCUAUAUUGUAUAUAAAUGACAAUAAAUAUUUUAGGUUUUA